CAGGGGASRWACCMGGGAAUUCUCCCAGUAACGGCGAGUGAACGGAGAUUAGCCCAUCACCGAAGCCCAUUCGUGUUUGMGAACAGGGCCAUGUGGUGUUAGGGUGUGUGCCUGGGGUUGCUGACCUAUUUGAAGUCCGACUUCGAUUACGGCUUGGAAUUGUCCCAUAGCGGGUGAAAGGCCCGUUCGGAUAGGUUCAGGCAAUCAGCGGUCCUCAGAUGCGCAUACCUACGAGUCGGAUUGCUUGAGAAUGCAGUCCAAAGUGGGUGGUAAACUCCAUCCAAGGCUAAAUACUGGCUCGAGUCCGAUAGUAGACAAGUACCGUGAGGGAAAGUUGAAAAGUACUCUGAAGAGA
rnacentral:rRNA from 1 species